rnacentral:rRNA from 1 species
UACGUAGGUGGCAAGCGUUGUCCGGAUUUACUGGGCGUAAAGAGCGCGCAGGCGGUCGGAUCAGUCGAAUGUGAAAGCCCCCGGCUCAACUGGGGAGGGUCAUUCGAUACUGUCCGACUCGAAGGCAGGAGAGGGAAGCGGAAUUCCCGGUGUAGUGGUGAAAUUCGUAGAUAUUCGGCGGAACACCAGUGGCGAAGGCGGCUUCCUGGACCGACACUGACGCUGAGGCGCGAAAGCUAGGGGAGCAAACGGG